GAUGAACGCUGGCGGCGUGCCUAAUACAUGCAAGUCGAGCGAACAGACGAGGAGCUUGCUCCUCUGACGUUAGCGGCGGACGGGUGAGUAACACGUGGAUAACCUACCUAUAAGACUGGGAUAACUUCGGGAAACCGGAGCUAAUACCGGAUAAUAUAUUGAACCGCAUGGUUCAAUAGUGAAAGACGGUUUUGCUGCCACUUAUAGAUGGAUCCGCGCCGCAUUAGCUAGUUGGUAAGGUAACGGCUUACCAAGGCAACGAUGCGUAGCCGACCUGAGAGGGUGAUCGGCCACACUGGAACUGAGACACGGUCCAGACUCCUACGGGAGGCAGCAGUAGGGAAUCUUCCGCAAUGGGCGAAAGCCUGACGGAGCAACGCCGCGUGAGUGAUGAAGGUCUUCGGAUCGUAAAACUCUGUUAUUAGGGAAGAACAAAUGUGUAAGUAACUAUGCACGUCCUGACGGUACCUAAUCAGAAAGCCACGGCUAACUACGUG
rnacentral:rRNA from 1 species